GCAAUUGAGGAACAGAACAUUUAAUCUGCUUCUUCAAACACCGACAGGAGGUACAAUAAUGAAGGCGAGAUAUCGUUUCAGUCGUCAUUUCUUCAGAUUGACGAUUCGAUUGUUGCUCGUCCACAU